GUGUGGACUGCAGAGGUUACCUGUUCCACUGUUGCUAAGAGUAGUACCUGCUGCCACUAACAAAAAAUAAUUUGGGAGCCUUUGAUAAACUCACCAAGUAACGCUGACAGCAAGGAGGACUUUCCAGCACCUACCUGGCCAACUACAGCAAGCAAGGAGCCUUGUGGCACGGCACCCUAAGAGUGGAAGCUGAACAAUGGAAGCUACUUCUCUUCUAAGACAACAAUGCUAACACAAAGGCUUACCACAGUCAGAAGUGUUUCUGCCUGAGUUCUCAGGAUU